rnacentral:rRNA from 1 species
GUUGUAUAGUCAAGUAAUUAAGUGCAUGUGGUGGAUGCCUUGGCAGUCAGAGGCGAUGAAAGACGUGAUAGCCUGCGAAAAGCUUCGGGGAGGUGGCAAAUAUCCUGUGAUCCGGAGAUGUCUGAAUGGGGAAACCCACUUACCAUAAGGUAGGUAUUGCAUGAUGAAUACAUAGUCAUGCAAGGCGAACGAGGGGAAGUGAAACAUCUCAGUACCCUCAGGAAAAGAAAUCAAUUGAGAUUCCCUCAGUAGCGGCGAGCGAACGGGGAUCAGCCCAUUAAGUUAUGUGUGUUUUAGCGGAAUGCUCUGGGAAGUGCAACCGUAGAGGGUGAUAG